rnacentral:lncRNA from 1 species
AUCACCUCCUCCUUCACUUCUUCCUCCUGCUCUGGCCAUCUAAUAUGGGCCUACUUCCCCUUUGCCUUCCACCAUGAUUGUAAGUUUUCUGAGGCCUCCCCAGCUGUGCCUGCCUACAGAACCGCAAUUCACCAGGACAGAGGCCUUUCAACUUUCCUCCCUGAGAUCUUCCUCCGUGAACCAACAACAAAAGGACCAGCCACCUCACUGGUCCUCUGUUGCCAGUAGAAAAAGCCCUACAAGGAUUAAUGCAAGAAGAAGUUCUGCUUUGGGGUUCUAUGAGGCUGAAAAUAUUGGAUCAGUAUUCCUGAGGAAUCUGCGUUUCAGAAUCCCAGGUCCGGAAGGACAAGAAGUACUUUGCAAACAAAUCAAAUGUACGUUUAGGAAGAUGAAAUCAUGCAACAGAAAGAUUUUUCAGAAUUUUUCAGCAACAGAUUUUACACACAAUUCAGAAGGAAGAAAGAACAGAUGAGUUUGGGAAUCAGGAGACCAGAUGUCAAGACUGGACUACAUCUUUAUAUUCAUUUCCAGAUUUAAAGUUCUAUGUUGUAUUUUAUUUGAUGCAAAGCAAUAAAAUAUUCCUCCCUCCUGUGA